ensembl:snoRNA
AGCUCUUGGUGCUUACCAUACGCUAUAGUCUUAUGCUGACUGUAUAAAAAGGGGAAGCAGGAUAAAUCUACACCAUGCACACCUCAGCCUAGGCCACUGUGCCUGUCUGUAUUGUAAUGGGGAAACCUGG